GACGAACGCUGGCGGCGUGCCUAAUACAUGCAAGUAGAACGCACAGUUUAUACCGUAGCUUGCUACACCAUAGACUGUGAGUUGCGAACGGGUGAGUAACGCGUAGGUAACCUACCUGGUAGCGGGGGAUAACUAUUGGAAACGAUAGCUAAUACCGCAUAAUAUUGAUUAUUGCAUGAUAAUUGAUUGAAAGAUGCUAUUGCAUCACUACCAGAUGGACCUGCGUUGUAUUAGCUAGUAGGUGAGGUAACGGCUCGCCUAGGCGACGAUACAUAGCCGACCUGAGAGGGUGAUCGGCCACACUGGGACUGAGACACGGCCCAGACUCCUACGGGAGGCAGCAGUAGGGAAUCUUCGGCAAUGGACGAAAGUCUGACCGAGCAACGCCGCGUGAGUGAAGAAGGUUUUCGGAUCGUAAAGCUCUGUUGUAAGAGAAGAACGGGUGUGAGAGUGGAAAGUUCACACUGUGACGGUAUCUUACCAGAAAGGGACGGCUAACUACGUG
rnacentral:rRNA from 1 species